GAGGGGACAUUAGGACUUAGCACGAGAGCCACCGGGCUCUGGGCUGCGGAGGAGGUUGGAGGUGACCUUCCAGAAGGAACGUGGGACAAGGGAGCAAGUGAGGACCUGGUGGGUAGUGGUUACUCUGUGAGAAGCCAGCAGCACCAACCAAAUAGAAGGUGGAGAAGUGGCCCCCAGCUUCCCAGUUUGGGUUUGGGCCAAGACAACUAAGAAAAGGGUCCACCGUCUUCACUCCAGGUCAGCACAAGAAAGCUGCCAUGAUGGCUCCUGUGGAGAGACUCCCCACAGUCCUCCAUUUCAAGCCCGUUUCAGACCAGUUAGCUGAGACACUUAGCUUGGAAGUCCAGAUGACCCUGCAUUGUAUCAAGUAGAAAAAUGUCUAACCAAGACAGAGGAGAAUACGAACCCUCUCAGCUCAUAGACAGGUGAUGAUGUGGUUUCCAACUGACUUUCAAGCAAACAGAUUUCCAAGCGUGCUUGAAGAGGGCAGUAAAUGAGAAGGCACAAGACUCUUACUCUGAAGGAGGACGAUCAGAACGGCAUAGCUGCCUUCUUGGCCUGUCACAGAAUUAAAUGGCAAAGGGUUCCGAGGACUAUCUAGCAUAUACUGCUGUCACUACAGGGGCGUGGUCUGUAAGAGGGAUAACCCAGCCCCCUAAUAAGGCAAGCAUGUCAUUUUCUGUGACAGAUGCAAGAAGAGAGAGGGGUUUGCUGGAAAUCGUGGCUGACCACCUCAGAAGGACCCAGAAGACCCGAACUUUCUGGUUUUGCCUUUCACCUUGCUCUGAAACUUCUCCCAACACUGGAAGACAAGAAAGUUCCGCCCUACCUCCGCCCCACCUCCGCCCCCCGGACCAGGGAGAUUCUUCUCUUUGGGCAAGCAGGCUUGCUGGGCAAUCGUGAGCUGCUGAGUUCCCAUCCCCAUAGAAAGCUGGACAUGGACAUGCAUGCCUGUUUCUGCAGCAUGCUCAACUCCAGGAGCUCUCUGGUCUCCUAUAAAUAAAGGAUAACACAUUCGGCCUUCUUACCAUUU
rnacentral:lncRNA from 1 species